GUCCAGUGCCAGACAGCUUCCCAUACAGCAAAUUUCCCAUCAAGCACUGAAAGCAUGUUUUUUCUACAUCUGGAAACUGUCCUGCUCCUCACUGGUGUUUGAGUGUUGUUCUGAUAUCCUGCUGAAAAGCCUCCAACCAAAAUCAGCCAACACAAAUUAAUAAAUUACCACCAGUCAGCAGGGGCAGAGUAACUGGACGGUGUGUGUUCUUGUCCUGAUGCACCCUACACCUCAACUGAUUAGCUGUAACUCCAUAAUUAAUGUCGAGUGUCCACCUGUGUCUGCUCUCCUCACUGGUACUGCAUUCCCCAUCUCAGAGCCAAAGAAACUCAAGAGGUCCUCCAAUGAGCAAACACAUUACAUAAGCAUGAGGUGAGACUGGAGACUCUGAGAGGUAGGGAUGUUGAAAGAGCACUGAUUUAUGAGAACUGGAGCAAAGUGGUAACUGAAGCAAUAGCUCCUUUUCCAUGAUGCUGCCCUGUGUUUUGUAACCUACCUCAUGGCCACUGGAUGAUUAGGACCUUUCCUGAGUGCACGAUUUCCCUUACCCUCAGUGUUUAUGAUGGCUGGUUUCAAUUAUUCCUUUCCUUCACACUCUGUAUUUCAACCUGCCUCAGAUGAGCAAUUCAUCUACUCUAUCAAAUAACUUACCAAGAUAGAUUUCACAUGCAAGGCAAAUACAUUUUCCUUCCCCUCAUAAUUCCACAACACUGUUUUUUAGAAUUCUGUUUCUCUUGCCUGAUUCCCAGCAAACCCUUACCCAGAGUAGAGCUUUCUAAUGUGCAGAUUGGAUAUAAAAUGCCAUCAGAUAACAGUGACAUUUCCACCUACUCUGUCCUGACCCUUGUGCCACAACUUUUCCCCCAUGUUACCUGAGCUGAUAUAAAGAGUGAGGUCAGAAAACGUUGCACAGGGCUGAAACAAGACCCCACCAUGGAUUGUCAUGUCCAUGUACAUGACUGAAGUAACUGGUGCCUAUGCAGAUUUGUAUGUAGUGGUGUUCUACGUAUGCAUGUGCACAGCAUGCAUGGCCAUGACGAAUGGUGCCAUGAUGCAUGUGAAAAAGCCCAUUUUUUACACAUGUAUUCAUGCUUUGUGAACUUCUGAUAUCAAUUCAUUUAAGAAUGGAGAGAAAAUUAAGAGAUUUGGUGCAUGUAGUUGCUCAUUCUUAAUACUCUUCUGAUCUUAGCAUAGAUGGGACCUGCACAGAUGAGUGAUGAGCGCUUGGAGGGUGAUUCCGUGGUAGAAGCAUCGUGUGGGUCCCAAGUUGGGUAUGGACACUGCUAUGGCACCCAAGUGAACGGAGCCCUGUGUCAGCAAAAAGCGUGAUGAAUAUCCAGGUGAGCUCAACAAGCACUCAGCAGAAUUCAUCUGCAGCUCAUUGAGGCAACACAGAGAGAGUUCAUGGGGAGUUUAUCAUGGGAACUGCUGAGGGUUAAUGGCCAGCAGAACAGAUUGAGCUGUGGGAUUACUAAAUAAUGAACUUUUCUCUCCAAUAAAUUUGUCCCUGACUUAUAAAAAAUCAAUAACAUACUACAUUUCGGGCUUUUUUUUUCCUUUUCCUUUUGGUGACGGUGGGGAAUGUGGGCUCAGAGUAAUUUUUAAACUACUCUUUCAUAUAUAUGUAUAAAUAUAUUUUACUCUGAUCAUUUAUACAAAAGCUCAGAUGUGCCACAUUUACUGCAGCUUCAUCACCUAGAUAGAUUUUUAUGUGGGUGCCCGGCUAUUGCUUUGUUUAAUCAUUCUUUUCUCUUCCCUCCCCAGUCCCUUGCCUCCCCCUUCCCUUCCAUGCUUUUUAUGACACUAUCGCCAGCGCAGAUAUGCAGGAGGGUUUUCAUGUGAUAUAGGAUGUCGGAGAGGUCAGGUCAGCUGGGACAGAGCCAAAAAUAUUAGCACUUUCUAACUGCUGAGGAGAGAAAUUGAAAUAAUAGCACUUAUAAAUUGGCAGGUUUUCAACUGCAGGAGAAGAGAGGGAUUUUUUGCGUGUGUUUAUUUUGUUUCAGAAGUGGAGAGGAGGCGGAUCCGGUUCUUGGCCACAGAAGAGAUGUUCACUGUGCUUUGGGCUCGUGUUUGUGUUAAAUUUGGCCAGGAAGUGGUUGGUGGGCUGGUAUCUGUUCUCAGACACGCAUUUCCUGUUUUUAACCCAAUCUUUCUUCCCUCCAUCUCUGUAUGGAAAUAGAAUUAUAGAAUCAUUAAUGUUCGAAGAGACCAUUAGGAUCAUCAAGCCCAACCACAGGUCCCUCAGAUGACUGCAUAUAGCAAGUCUCCCCAAAAUACAGGAGGGACACCCAGUCCAGCUUUUCAGGGAUCUCCUGGGCUCUCUGCUUCAACAGUGAAUCACCAAGCCUUGGUGAAACCAUGGCUCUUUCAGUCACACCGUCACUGUUAGACAGCAUCAGCAAUGGAAAUCACCUCCUCUCACCAAAGCCCAAAGUGCUUUGCAGGAUCUGCCUUCCAAAACCUGCUCUCAUCUGGUCUCCGAUGCUUCACCUCAACCCAGGCACAGCUGUUACGUGUGCCAACCUGGGGAAAUCAGAAGCCAUGCAGCAAUAACUGUUAAUUGACCGAGAGCCACCUCUGCGAUGCCAACAGGAACAAAAGAACAAGCAUCUGGCUUUGCCAUCUGUGCCUGUUUAAAUGCAGCAAAAAGAAACCCUUCUCCAGAUCUCCCAGCUGGGUGGAGAGGUAACUGGAUUCAGCAGCAACGUGGAGUUGCAGGUUGGCUGGGUCUGUGGCUCCUAGUCACUCUGACAUGUGAAACCCUUUGCACGAGACAUGUUGACCUUCCCAGCCCUGGCUUUGUAGAUGAGAGCAAUGAUGGGCUCUGAUGGACGCAACUGAGCAGCCUGGAGUUAUUUCUAGUCAUGGUUGCAGUUCACUGUGAAUAAAAGUCCAGGUGUUCAGAAAUCACUCAGUGCUCAAAGUACUUGCAAGAGCUUUGAUGCACCCUUUACCUCUUUCCAUCUCACUAGGCAUGGCUAGGAGAGCUCUUCAAUGGAUCACAUGUCCUGGAAAAGGACACCUGUCUUGUGCCCCACACAUCCCAGAGGUCAUAAGGAAGGGAUCACUGGUGUUCAGACAACCUCCUCCACCAAAGUCUGCAAAACAAAUUAAAAGCAUAUCAAAUCUUCUGUUUUCCAAGGAGCUUCACAUGAUAAAAGCUGAGUCAGAGGUCUCUGGUGUGCUGGGAUCCUGAAACUUCUAGGAAGGUCAGUGUCAAAAUGCAGUACUUUCCCUUCUAGUCAGAGCACCGUUAAGCUAAAUUAUGGAAUCAUAGAAUCAUGGAAUCAGAAAAUCCUGACUUGUAAGGGACCCAUAAGGAUCAUCGAAUCCAACUCCUGGCUCCAAACUGACCUUUCCAAUGAGAAAAGGAUAGGAUUCAGCAGCUCACUUUUGAAAGACAGUUUAGUCCAAGCUACCUGAUAUUUGCAGUAGAGGAGCCAGUCCUACUGAGAAAACCAAACAAGACCAGAGCUAUGGUCUGACACCAAGUAUAAGGUUUCUCCCUAGCAAGGCUUCAUCCAGCCAGCACUUGAGGUAGCAUACAGCCUCAGCAAGAAUGAGAUCAAAUAAGAGGGUAACACAGGGGCCGUUCCUAAAAGGCAAAAUGGAGAGAGCCAUCCUGAAGGAGGGAGUGAAGAGAAGAGUCUGGCCAGGUGGUCCCAAAGAUGAGAUGAAAAUGCCAGGAACAGCCAACUAUAGAUACAGAAUUAGACAUCCUGUGAGGGAUUAAACAAAGUACGGUUUGCUGGGGAGAAUCCAAAGCCACGAUAGAUUUAUCUAAUGCAUUUCUUGCUCUCUGUAUGGUUCUGGAAGUUCAGAAAUCUUUGGGUUCAAUUAACUCUGCCACAAGCAAGCAGGAAUAAUUUGUAGGGGAUGUAAAGUCUCAAGAAGUUGAAAAGGAAGCACUUAUUUUUUUUACUGUGUGCCGUAUUUGCAAGAGAGUUCCCCAUAAGCAAAGUCUUUGGUAGCCUGAUUCAUAUGGAGAAGACUGGAGGUAUCAACCCUGAGAAAGGACAGAAACAAAAAAUAAUUAUGAGGUUGACUAAUGGUCAGUGAGUAUCAGAGCUUGUCUGUUAUGUCUAUACUGUGUUGGACAUAGGCGAGUAGGCAAGACACACACGUAGUGCAUGCUCUGUCCUGAAGGCUUAGCCAUUAUUAUUUCUCAUUUAUUUGAUUUUCUAUUUACUGUAAAGGUCACUCUACCUGUAUGUAUUGGGUGGUAUUUUGGGGUUUCUUUUGCAUGGGGGGAAAACGUAACUGAGGUCACAUUGGAUAUAAUAUUUCUUAGUGUGUACUCUAUAUUCAUACGCCCAAUGCAUGGUAAAGUAAGGCAGCAUUCUUUAAGAGAUGGAAGAAAAGCUGAUAACAGUUUGUGUUCUCUAUAUAAUUCAGGCACAACUAUCUGUCAACAGAGCAAGGUAAUUAUCCCAAUAAGAUUUCACGAAACGAGGAAAUAUCAUGGAUUUUAUAAACCUUAUUAUCAUUAAGAGUGAAUGCAAAACAACAAAAGGAGCCUUAAAACAAAAUGUUAUGUUGAAAUCAAUACUGAUUCCUUGGGAUAAGUGUUAUGAGGCAGUCAAAUUCUCUAAGAUUUCUCCCCUUACCCCCCCCCCCCCCCCAAAAAAAGAGGCUGCAGACAAACCAAGGGAGAGCAAACAGCUCUAAAGCAGCCUAAUCACUCUGCAAAUUGGGGAACGAGCAAUGCAGUGCUGAUUUUUUUCCAACAUCAGCGCGUUGCUCUAAAAAUGUCCCUCCUCCUUUUGCUCUUGUGCCCCCCCCAGCCAACAAGCCCAAAUAAUAACCCAUUACUGACGGCACCAUAACGGCGCCUUCAGGGAUGGGAUUAGAGUAAGUAUCAAUUUGGAAAUUAGCAGCCUGGUUCAACGAGCAGCGUACCAGCCCUGCAGGCAAAAGGAGAAAUCUGAAAUUUGCACACGUGCUGCCUCACGAAAUGCUGCUUUCAUUACCCCCUUCCCUCUCCCUCCACGCCAUCAUGCAGAUCAGCUGCUCCAUACAGCCUUAUCCGGCACUGCGGCUCAAAGGCAGAGAUGUUUUCCAGAGCAUGCUUGUGUGGGCCUCCAGCUGUCAGCUUUCCUCCAUCCAUCCCAAAAUGAUGCGUCCAUGGGCCACUGAGCAAAUGGGACUCAAUGCUUGUGUUCAGAUUUGUGGCAAGCGUGGGAAUUCUAAGGACACUGCUUAGUCAGCAAUAUUGGUGGCAGGUGGAUGGUUGGAUUGGAUGAUCUUAGAGGGUCUUUUCUAGCCUUAAUAAAUCUAUGAUUCUAUGAAUGGAUUCUGUUUUCCAGAGAGACCUAGACAGAGCAGUGGGUCCAUGAAAACCUCACGCAGUUCAACAAUGCAAGGUCUGCACGUAGGUCAUUGAAACCCCACUACUGAUACAAGCGAGGGGAUGUAAGGAUGGAGCGCAGCCCUGCCAAAAAGGACCUGGGGGUACUGGUGGAUGGCAGAUGGACAUGAGCCACUGCAACAGGUUGCCUAGAGACGUGGUGGGUGCCCAUCUCUGGAGCCGUUCAAGGUCAGGCCGGAUGGGGCUCUGAGCUGUGGGCGUCCCUGUUCAUUGCAGGGGGUUGGACAAGGUGACCUUUAGGGGUCCUUUCAACUCAAACCAUUCUAAUUGAGUGUUUGCAGCUCCCAUCAUCUCAAUGCUAUGUAGAGUAGCCACCCAAAAACAUGUUGCUUCUUCCACCAUAAUAUUGGACAGGACAGUCCUCCCACCACAAGGAGCACCAUGUUUGGGAAUGAAGAUCCUAAAGGACUGUUCUGUCAACCCUUAUAUCUUUGCCUCACCCACCACAGCUCAGGCAAACACCCACAUCUCUGCCCUCUUCACCAAGAUCAGUUUCCGGGCACCAGAACAAUCACUUGAAGCCAAAAUGAACUACCAAGAGUAAACCUAAAAAGUGAGCUCUGAACAAAAAAAUCCCCCCCACAGUUCUGAAAGAAUGACAAGACAUAAAAAAAGAGGUGAAAUUUGAGCCCAUUUCAGCAAACAAGCACAGAGCUUAGACUCUGGCGUGUCAGCUCUUUUCACUUUGCUAUAGAUGCUGAAGUAAAGCAUUUCAUCUUUUCUAAAUUUAUGUAUUAACAUUUUGUUUAAUUUCCAUUUAUUAAUAUUUAUUCAUAUAUAUUUAGAAAUAGAUUUUUAUUUGUAUAUAUUUAAGUAAACAAUACUAAUCUAUUUGUUAUUAAUAUUUCAGGUUUUCACCCCAACAUAGAGUACGAAGCAUCAGGCCUUCCACCAGGACAGACAUCCUAUUUGUAAACACUGCUUUAUUGUAUCUUACUCUCCUCCAUAAUGCUUUUCACUCCAGCAUGGAUGAACCUUCAUGGGAGUUUUUCCAGUGUCACCCUUAAUAAUGAUAUCAUUCUCUUUUUACCAAGACACUUUGCUAGACUGGAAGACAACAGUUUCGUAUCAGUCCCUCAAGACAAGCCAGUAAUCAUCCAACAGACCAUCUCAUCUUCACUGACCAUUCCUGUGAUGGGAGUUGCUCACGUCAGAGGAGCAUUAAAGGUGAGAGGGAACCAGUGUGCAAAGACUGAACUAUGCAUCAGACGUUGGGUGCUGGUAUAGAAUCAUAGAAUCACUGAGGUUGGAAAGACCUCUAAGAUCAUCAAGUCCAACCAUCAACCCAAACCCAUCACCACCAUGCAACUAAACCACGCUAUACAUUGUGAUAUCUUCCCCUUUCUUGAUAACUUCCAAGGAUGGUGACACCACCAUCUCCCUGGGCAGCCUGUUUCAAUGCUUCACCAAAGUACAAGAGGUCCCAACUCUGCUGGAGUAGCUGCAGCCCUUCAGUGCCUCAGCCUUAUGCUCCUGAUUGGCCAUGGGUGUAAUUACUGAACACAACAAACCAAAGAGCUCACUUCUCUGAGUUUUAUUCUCACUCUGGUCAGGUUUCCUGUGGCAGCCUGUAGCUGGAGGUGGCCUAUGCAGAAUUAGCUACUCUAAUGUAGUUCCAACCUCUCACUGUGAAUGCGAGCACACAGCUGAAGAAAGGAUUGCCACAAAGGGUUAGGAAGAAAGGAAAAGGAGAUUAAUGCUCAUCCCCUCGAUCUGAUCCUACUCCCUUUGAAACUUUCAGCAAAGCAGAUUAAGGCUGUAAGCUUCACCAGGCAGGGGGUGUUACUCACCACUGCGUUUUGGAAAGUCAAACAACAACCGAACCCUGAUCCUGACCUCCAUGCCUCGCAGAGAUAAAUUAAUAAUUAAAAAUAAUGCUAACGAUAACAUUAAUGAUGAGGUUUGUGCUGCUAAAUGGGGAGUUUUCUCCAGCAGCAGUAUUUUCCUCUGUGACUGGCAGCUCAUUUGCUGCUAUUGAUGCUCUGAAGCAUGAUGAGGAGUAGCUGGGUGAGUAUUUCUCUAACCAAGCACUUUGGGUCAAAUGCAGAGUGAUCUCAUGCAGUAUCUCACAUGGCUGGCCUGAAAUGUCAAGCCCUGCACUUGGAGCGAGGGGCGAGCAGGUCAGGUCAUGUCUGGUUGUAAAAGGAUUGUUUGUGCCACACUCCAUCCAUGGCCUUGUGUUGGGAGGACCCAAACAAUCCUUCCCUUCAUUCUCCAGCAGAAUGGUAUUUUCGGGAAGACAAGGGGCUGGCAUUAACUUCCUUGCAUCUGAUGAUGUUUUUUUUCCUAAUAUGUUUCUUUUGAAACUCACCCUAUUCCAUAGCUGCAAGUCCAGACCCAUAUCUGCACCGAAGGAACAGAAGAAUCCUUAGGUCUUCCCUUUGCCUGUGUCAGUUUUGCAAUUCAGCUCCAUCAGGACAGCCACAUGAGUUUUACUCUGUAAGGAAACUCCUGCACGGUGCAGAUUGCUGGGGCCAUUCAGAUCCACAUGUUGCUUCUGUGCCUAACACAGCCAUGACUCACUCAGAGGGUGGUGACACACUGAACAGGUUGCCCGAGGAAGUUGUGGAUGCCCCAUCCCUGAAGGCAUUCGAGGCCAGGCUGGAUGUGGCUCUGGGCAGCCUGGUCUGGUGGUUGGUGACCCUGCACAUAGCAGGGGGUUGAAACCGGAUGAUCAUUGUGGUCCUUUUCAACCUUCAACUUUUGCAACCUCUAUGCAAGGGAGAGAGGUGGUAAUAGCAUGUAUGAUCACCUCCAAUAGAUGCCAGCAGUUAUUUCUAUCCAUAGAGAAACAAGGAGCCAGAAUUUGCAAAAUAGGUGCUUUGUACUGAUUGUCCCUCUCUUGACCUUCCAUAGCGUGGUACUCACAGCAACGUCUCCAUUAGCAAUAUUCACCCUCAGCUCCCAUUAUAGUCAAUGGCACUUGCAUGACAUGAUCAAUCUCACCAAAAUUAGCCAAACCAAACCACCCCCUGGGAGUGCUGAUUUCUUACUGAUGUCUGCCAGGUGAGCCAGAAUCGACCAGCUCAGGUGGAAGCCAUUGCAGCUUGCAUGUCUCAGGCUGUGGGGAUGAUCCCUACUCCCUACAAGGGUAGACUUCAAAUCCCUGGAAAUAAUAUAAGUACAUGAAACCAAUGGGGGCUGGAACUCACUAUAACAACUUCUCUGAUCUGGAGAGGAAACCAUUGAUUUCCCAGUUUCCUGGUAUGGAGACAUCUCUUCUUCAGUGUUGUCCUGUCAGAGGUCAUCUAAGAUUGGGGAUUUAUAGGGAAAAUUGCAACAUGGUUGACCUUGACUCUACAAUGGAGGAAACAAUAUCGAAUCUCUGUCCUUCUCCUCAUUUUUUAGCCCUAUUCUGAUGUUUUUCUUGAGACAGCAUGCUGUUGAGGGACCUCAUCAUUUUUAAUUUUUCUUUUCCCCUUCAUCAAGCCAACCAUUCUAUUAUAAAAUGGUGGUUCCAUUUCUUAAUCUUCCUAUUUUCUUCUCAGUGUGUGUUUGCUAAUCAAUUUCACAAGCUGCUGCGUGAAGAGUGGGAAGAAGGGCUGCUCUCCUCCUUCUUUUGGACCUUUUCCCAGAAACUAGACCAAGCCAGUUUUCUCUCUGGUAGCCUGUAGCUCAUGUUAGAUCCCCAUGUACAUGGACAGAAGGGGCUACUGAGGUUGGGGCCUUGUAGCUGAGAAGCCACCACCUCUAGUCUCUCCUUUCGUCAUCAUAUAGGAACAGGUUGCCCAGGGAAGCGGUGGAGUUACCUUCCCUGGAGGUUUUCAAGAGGAGAGUAGAUGUUGCAUUGAGUGUCGUGGUUAGUGGGCAUGGUGGGGAUGGGCUGAUGAUUGGCUUAGGCGAUCUUAGUGGUCUUUCCAACCAUAAUGAUUCUAUUAUCCUUAGGAUGGAUGAGGAGACUUCAUCCAGCAAUUUCCAGCGCACCAUGAUGAAUGGCUGGAGGGUAGCAGGUGACGUCUCAGAGAACAUCUCAAAGGAAAGGACAAAGAUUGAAGCAACUGAACUGCUGUAAGGGCAUAGCUUUUGUCUCCAACUCCACAUGAGUUGCGAGAAGCUCAUAAAUAGAUGAGCAACUCGUAUGCAUUGAGCAACUCAUGUGUAUGUCACUGAAGCUGGAAAUGUUCAAGGAACAUUUAGAUGUUGUGUUGAGGGAUGUGGUUUAGUGAGAACUCUUGGUGAUGGGUGGAUGGUUGGACUGGAUGGUCUUGUAGGUCUUUUCCCACCUUGGCAAUUCUAUGAUUCUAUGAUUGCUACAGCUCAGCGCAGUCUGGAAGUGCUGGAACUCCUUUUCAGCUGCUGGAGCUGAGAUCUCUAAAGGUGCUCAGGUGCCUAAAGAUGCUGACAUGCUUACUAGGCUUUGCAGAAGUGCUCAUUUUUUAAAGUCCUUAUAGUUAUCUCUCUUCAGACUCCAAAGUGGCUCCAGAAAGCUGCUCUGGAAAGUCUACAGAUACAUGAACAAUGUUUUAAUCCUCUGACCAGAGAAAAAUCUCUGUCCUUCCAGCCACCUGGUGCACAGCAGUUCAUAUGCACACCGCUGAGGCACACCACCCUGGAAUGAUUCCUUUCCUCUAAGCCCGUCUAGCCAGCAUGUCAUUAUUAUUUUUGAGUGAUCAUGUGUUUUGAGAUCAAAGGACUUAAAAUAAAGCAAUAGCUGUGUUGCAGCCAGCCUCACUGCGUGGUUCUGAAAGUGUAUACGUGUUGUCUGCCUUGUUGGGAAAGCACAGGAAUAAAGAGAGUUCAGAGGAUACAAAUCAGGUUGCUCAGAGAAGCUGUGGAUGCCCCAUCCCUGGAGGUGCCCAAGGCCAUGAUGAGUGUGGCCCUGGGCAACCUGAGCUGGUGGGCAGCAACCAGCCCACAGGAGGGAGGUUGAAACCCUAUGAUCUUUAAGAUCCUUUCAUGGGCUAAAACAUGCCCAGAACACUAAUCCAGAGUUUCCUCACUCCUAAAAGGAGUUGAGGAUGGACCAUAUAUUGUACGAUCAAGGGACCAAACAGCAGAGAAUUCACUCACUGGGCAGUACAGAAGUAACAUACAACUCAGAUCCACAGAAAGACCCACAGGGAGCUGAACACGUCAGAGCAGCUUCUCCCUCAGCACUGCAGGUAGGAUUUCCUGAAAGACUCACCGACUUUCUGCACCUGCUCCCCUUGGCAUCAAUAAGAGGAGGAGGGGAAAGAAGGGAACUGCUAUUGAUUGUGAAAAUGCAAUUCAGCGGAUGCUUCAAGAAAUCAGAAUCUUAGAAUCAGAGAAUAUUCUGAGUUGGAAGAGACCCACAAUGACCAUCAAGUCCAACCCCUGACUCCACACAGCAGCACCUAAACCCUAUGUCUGAGAGUGAUGUCCCUGUGCCCAUUGCCUUGGGCAGCCUGCUCCUCUGGUGGGGGCCUAUCCCUCCAAUUAAUCCUCCUUCCUCCAUUCUCUGCUUCAAGGAAGUGUCCAGCCAAACCUUCGUGAUUCACGCUAUAAAGAGAUCAAAUCAUGUCAGUACUUCUAUGUUUUGCUGCUGAAAAGGAAGAUUAUCUUUCCUGCCUCUGACAAAAGACCACUAAAAGCAAUUUGCAGACAAUACCCUAGUUAAGAACAAUAAGCCAAGCGUAUGUCAUUAGUAACCAGACAAGUUCAAAGGCAUUUGUACUCCUGCCUGGGUACUCCAGUCACUCUGCUCUGUACUGUGAAAAGCACUACAUGUACUUCCUGAGAGCUCUUCUCCAUCAAACUACCAAUAGAAUGAACCUUUUGUGCAUUUUUGUAUAACAAGAAAUGGGCUUGCAAUUUUUCUUCACGGGUUUAAGUAUUGGGGAGUUUUCUUCCCUGGGAUAAAGUGGUGACAUGCUUGGCCACCCAAUACUCACCAAACAAUGGGGAUAAAUAAAAUAUAUUCAAGAAAGGGGUAUUUAUUAUUAUUAUUAUUACUAUUAUAGCUAUCCAACCAAUCUAAGGAAAAAUAUUUCACAGUAAGGGUGGUGAGGCACUGGUACAGGUUGCCCAGAGAGGUGGUGGGUGCCCCAUUCUUGGAGACAUCCAAGGUCAGGCUGGAGGGGCUCUGAGCACUGAUGGAGCUGUGGGUGUCCCUGUUCAUUGCAGGCAGUGGGGCCAGAUGGUCUUUAAGGGUCCCUUCCAACUCAAACCAAUCUGUGAUAUGCCAUGAAUCCAACCACUGAGUGAAAACAGUACUUUGUGAGAGAAGUGCCAAACAAUGCCAAACAGAUACUGGAGGAUGGUAGCCCUCCUGCUUGCAGCAGUGCUCUGAUGGCUCAGCAGAUGCCAAGCAGCUGGUGCUGCCUACUGGCCUGUGCAAGGGUUCAUGCAUAUCAGUUGUCCCCAUUCAUAUAUGUUUAUGACAGAUGCCCAUCCACUGGACCCUACCAGUCCAAGACAGUGACACUCAAUAACUGCAUCUCUGUCUCUAGGUUUCCAAACAGACAAAAAGCUUUACACAGGCAAGUGGAACGAAACCUUAGGCUUCUCAGAAGCACACUUAUGGACUGUGAAGAAAAUUUUGGCGAUGAGUUUUUCACCCGUGGGACAACAUCCUAUGCAUCAUAGCAAGAAUACAUCGGGGAAAGUGCACACCUGGAAGAGCUCACAGUCUGAAGGGAUUGGAUAGAAACCUCACAUCUGAUGUUGUGCCUGGUUUUUAAAGCAGUUUUGAACACUGGGUAUCAAAAUAUGUUCCCUGCUCUGAAGUUUAAGCAACCUGCUCCUCACGCUUCAAUAGCAAGCUGCACUCAAGAGGACAUUUGCUGCCCACUCCUAUGGAUGACAAAACACAAUUUAUGGGAUGUGUUGUACAGAAAGGAGGCAGCCUUUGCCUCAAGGUGUAGGUAGCAGAUUGACCAAAGCUAGAGGUCAAUAGGCCAAUAUUUGACCAGGCAUGGCUCCUCCUUGCAUCCCGUUUGGGAGCCUUUCUGCAAGCAGAGAGCAGAGAUUGAGAAAUCAGCAAGAUUGGUCACCCUUCCCUUCAUUGCUUAAAUUAUUUACUUUACCGUUUUCUCUUCUCCUGGCAGCUGAUUUGUCAAAGCAAGUGAAGCAGCUAGAAAGAGAGUUGUGGCUGCAGCAGGAAUAUUACAGCAAUUAGAAAGGGCCAUAAACAGUUCUCUACAUAUGAAACUGCUCAUUGAAUUUGACAAGCAGCCUUUUCUUCUUCUCCCCGCCACCAAAUACAAUGCAGCCUCUUUCCCUUUCAUAAAUGCCAGCACUUUUUCUUUCGGUUCCCACCAAGGGUCCCUCACACUCAACACUCAGAUCAAUACAUUUGCGGACUGAAAGGGACCUUUCUCCUCAACACUCAGCCUCUCGCGGACAGAAUUAAGGCUGAUUGAGUAUGUCACAGUCCGACUGCAAUUUAGAGAGGCAUCGUGCAACCGUGCUGUCCUGGCACCGGUCCAGCUGUCAGAUUUAAUAGAAAAGUAGAGCAGCUUCAUCUGCCCCAAACGGCACGCUGCUCUCUGCAGCCACUGAUUUAGGCUUCCUACACGUUACGGUCUGUCACUUGGAAGUGAUGGAUGAGGUACCAGUGGAUGUCUCUUGCUCACUCCCGGUAGCGAUAAGCAAGUAGCAGGUACGUCAGGAGAAGAGCUGAAGGGAUUAUCUUGGGCUUAUUUUGUGUUUGCCAAUACUGAAGGCGGAGAACAUGCUGCCAGAGCAGGAUGUUAUAAAUUAUAUUGUGCUAUAGCAGGUAGGGCUGAAACAUGGUGGCAAUGGGUUGAUGGUUGGACUUGGUGAUCUUAGUGGUCUUUUCCAACCUUAAUGAUUGUGUGAACCUGUUGAGGCUUCUCCAACCUCCAUAAUCAUGGGGGGAGACCUCUACAGAGCUCCCUUCCACUUACAUAGUGUCUAAGGGUUGAACUCUUGCCAUAUGUUAGAAAUUAGGACCAAAGGAGGUCUUGUUGACCUCCUGUCCUGCCAUGAGAUAGAAUUGCCUGUGCUACUUUGCACAACACUGGGUCAUUCAGGUUAAUAUUUCCCCUGGAGAGAAGCAGCAUGAGUCAGAGUACCCACUUGGAAAGGAGAGAUUGGGGUGAUUUGGAGUGGAAUGAUGGAGGGCCUUAUGACAAACUGCUCUGUAAUUACGUUGGCAAAGAUCUUCUGCCAACAAGGAGCAGAGCAGCACCUAGGUGGAUACAGGUGGCUUUGCAUUUCCUGGGUACCUCAAUUUGCUUUGUUUCUGCUCCAGAAGGAUGCUGAUUAACUGUGGGUGGUUCAGGGAAGAGCCGCCUGAACAGCUGAAGGUUUGGGGAUGGGGAUGACAGGAGCAGGGGGAGGCAGAUGAUGCCUGGUGUUACUGAGAAAAGGUUAAGGGGUAAUUUAUCAUUGUCUGUAAGUACCUGCUUGGGAGCAGUAAUUUGAGAUGAGAGCUCUUGAGUCUGUAUCACAAAAGGAUAACUGGAACUGUUGGCUGUGUGUUGGUGUGAGGUGCAUUUUCUGAGACACAGGCACAGCAAAAGGAGUGGGUGGGGGAAAGGCAUCACAGCUGUCAACAGGUGCUCCAGCCCUCCACCUCCAAUGGUUGCAGUCCCCUCUUUCCUUAACUCGGGAAUCCUGCACCUAUUUGCAAAUGACAAGGCUGAUGCAAGCAGAGUAGAAUAGGGUAUUUACCUCCUUCUGCCUAAAAAUCCCAACGUUGCCUUUGCCUUGCAAGAUGGAACAGAACCACUUACAAUCCCAGAUUUUCUACAGCCUGUUAAUCCCAAGAGAUGCAGACAUGUCAGACUUCUUGGCUUCAGGGAUUUCAACCCAAAGGAUAAUUAUGAAAAAACUCCCAAAUUGAUAUGCUUGAUCUUAAGAUUGUUACCACAGCCCCAAUAAUUUUGUUGGAAGUCCCAACCCCACUGAUUAAAUCACGUUCUUAAGCUGCAAUUCUCCACCUAUCUACAGUCAUUCUGUAUUUUGACACAGCAACCCCAGUGAUUUCCUACAACCAUAUCUCCCAUAACAUGCCUGGUUAUUAAUUCUCAGGAUGCAUCACACAGCUUCAGCAGUGAAAAGAUGCCCUCUGCAUUAUGGAAGAUAAAGUUCUUCAGGAAACUCAGCUCAGAAUGCAGCUUGGAGCUGGGAGGUCCCAGUUUGCAGUGUCCACAUGAGAAAAGACUGCCACUUAAUUCUGAAAUCACAAUGUAUUCAAAGUCAUUACGUGCUAUCAAAAAUAUAAGGGAUUACCAGAUGCAAAAUGAGGCAUUUAAUUCUCAUGUCAUCUAAAUCAGAAAUUUUCCCCCAUCACAUUUAAAUGGUGUGAUGAAGCCCUUAUGGGAAACCUGUUUGGCUGAAAAGUCCAUGGCCAGUUUCACAGAUCAACUACUCAGUACAAACCAUGGUGACUUUUCCUCAGCUGGAUGCCAUUAAACAGAGAUCAGUUCCAUUUGCUUUGUUGAAAGAAAGAAAAAAAAAAUAGAGAAAAAUAAAAGCUCUUUUUAGCUCCAACUCUGUGUCUAGCUUUGAGGAGCCUUGUCUUCAGAUAGUUGGAUAGACCAUGGCUGUCUAUGACAAGGACAGGACAGGAGCUUGCACCAGGAGGAGGCUGUGCUGCCACAGCAUUCAGCUCUGCAAGCCCAAACGUUGUGGCUGCCAACGUUCAGGUGAACAAUGCAAUUUACAUCCAAACACUGCUCCUGGGCAGCAGAAUGCAACCAGUCAACCAGAGCAAGGGCUGAUUAUGGGAAACAUCUGGGGUGAAAUGGGAAUUCCCCAUUCUCUAGUCAUUCCCUGGACUAUUUUAGGACAGCUUCUUCAUAAAAUGGAAGUGCAGUCUUCUCCAGAGCCCCACCUGUAUAACCAAGGGCAGGUUGGGCCAGAGGAAUGAAAUAAAUGAGCUUUUUAAUGGGCUUUAAUCACAAAUUGUCCUUCAGGGCUUGAUAGAGGUUUCUGCCACAUCAAAGAGAAAUCUCCUGUCCAUUUCAAGGGGAGAAGAAGCAAACUUGUGAACAGCACAUCAGAAUUAAACCUUGUAAAAGAUCACUGCACAUAGUAAAUGCACUGGUAGUGCUCAGGAGAAGGGAGAGAGCAACUGCUUGGCUGGUGAUUUAUCACACCUUUUGGACCCCCAAACUCUUUUGCAUUUUGACUUCAGAUGGGCUAUAGAAAAACAUGUCUAUAAUGUCUGUGUCCAACUAUCCACUCUUAAUGACCCAGUGGAACACCCAAAACAGGCAGAGCUUUGCCUGUUUCAACAUGAGAGUCCAUCUUCCAAAACAAGAGCUGCAGAGACUAUGUCUGGAUCAGGAGAUAGGGGCUCAUCUUUCCUUCUGCAGUCAUUUGGUGACUACAGCACAUGCCUGAGCGCUAGGAAAUGGUCAGUGAGCAAUGCCUAUCUCUUUUGCCUGUAAUAAUGUAAGCCUGCUUGUCCCUCAUAAGUACUUUGAGGACAUGAUAAUGGGAUAUUCAAACACAGGGAGCUCACUGUUGCUGCCAAUGGGACUUCCCCACUUUAUCAUGGAAGAUGGGAAAGAGUGACUACAGAUUGCACUUUCCUCCUUGCCGUCAUAUCAGGCUUCUGCUCUGCUUCCCCAGCUGGUUAAUACACUGCUUCUUAACUACAUCUCUUCAGAAAUGUCAGUCCAGAUGAUGUCAGAGCUGAAAGAUGACCUCUCAAGCCCUGGCCUGGGAGAGUAUUGGCUCCCUUCCUUAAAUCCACAUUGUACAGGGACUCUACGAGGAAGUCUGAACAGAUCUGUGGCCUUUAGCAGGGCAUGAGAAAGGGAGACUGCUCAGAUGGGAGAAGGACUUAUGGGCAGACAAUGAGGAUUUUUCAUGAUGUGACAUUUUAUUUGCUCUGAUAUGUUGACAUGAGUCCUGUGAGUCAUCAGGAGAGCUGACUUCUGGAUUCUCAGUUCUUAGCUCCUCUUUUGUCUACAGGGCUUGCUUCUUUCCGGGCCUUAGCACUAAUGAAAUUAAAAUCUUUUGCUUCUGAAAGAAUUAUGGGUCUGGCUCAUGCCAAAAUAUUAAUUCUGUGGGAGAAAGGGGCAAUGUAAGCAUCUGAUGGGUGUGUGAGAUGGAUGAGAAAAAACAGAGGAAAAUUUUGUCUUAGUGUCAGGCUCUGCAAUUUUUAUUUUUUGGAGUUAGCUUCAUUUAAGACUAACUGAGCAUCAUAGGCAGUCAAUGGCUUAACAGAUAUCUGUGCCAAAGAACACAUUAUCUGCAAGUGAAAUAUCGUAACGGGUCUAUGUGAUGGAAAGCACUAGAAGGACAAGUUAUAAAUAC
ensembl:lncRNA